ACGCGUUUGGUACGCGAAACAUGCGCUUCACGCUAGGGUUGUGGGGGAGGAGGUGCUGCAUGUCCGAGCUGUUCGACGCGGUCGACGCGCU
rnacentral:tRNA from 1 species